rnacentral:rRNA from 1 species
GAUGAACGCUCGCGGGAGGCCUAACACAUGCAAGCCGAGCGGUAGAGUCUCUUCGGAGACUUGAGAGCGGCGCACGGGUGCGGAACACGUGUGCAACCUGCCUUUAUCUGGGGGAUAGCCUUUCGAAAGGAAGAUUAAUACCCCAUAAUAUACUGGAUGGCAUCAUCUGGUAUUGAAAACUCCGGUGGAUAGAGAUGGGCACGCGCAAGAUUAGAUAGUUGGUGAGGUAACGGCUCACCAAGUCAGCGAUCUUUAGGGGGCCUGAGAGGGUGAUCCCCCACACUGGUACUGAGACACGGACCAGACGCCUACGGGAGGCAGCAGUGAGGAAUAGUGGACAAUGGGUGAGAGCCUGAUCCAGCCAUCCCGCGUGAAGGACGACGGCCCUAUGGGUUGUAAACUUCUUUUGUAUAGGGAUAAACCUAGAUACGUGUAUCUAGCUGAAGGUACUAUACGAAUAAGCACCGGCUAACUCCGUG